rnacentral:lncRNA from 1 species
UAUACAUUUAUCAAAAUAUAUUUUCCGUUUUCUUAGUUCAUUUGGAAAAACACACAUUCUUCUGUAGUCAGAUAUCCAGUCAAAUUCGAAGGUAAGAUUAAAAAUAGAUCAGAUGGGAAGAUCAGACACGGUUUUUCUGGUUUCAAUAUUUUCAAUAUCAAAGUCCAGAGCUGAGGAACCAGUUCUGCAAGUGGCGAAGGUGGAAACAACCGAAUUAACUUUCCUCCACCCUAAAUGGAAACUGAAAAAUGCCGCAAUUGUCGACAAUUCCUCAAUUCCAAACAAACCGGAAAGCAUCAGCAUGAAUAAACAUCUGAUUCAAUCAAAAAUCCAAUUUGAGAGUUUUUUCCUAACCGUAUUAAAUCAUUUUUUAUAAAGAAAAGAAGAAGGAAAAAAAAAACAAUUUUAUGC